rnacentral:misc_RNA from 1 species
GAAAUGCGAUAAGUAGUGUGAAUUGCAGAAUUCAGUGAAUCAUCGAAUCUUUGAACGCACAUUGCGCCCCUUGGUAUUCCAUGGGGCAUGCCUGUUCGAGCGUCAUCUACACCCUCAAGCUCUGCUUGUUGUUGGGCGUCUGUCCCGCCCCCGCGCGUGGACUCGCCCCAAAUCCAUUGGCAGCGUUCCUUGCCCCCUCUCGCGCAGCACAUUGCGCUUCUCGAGGGCGGCUCCGGGACGCGAUCCAGCAAGAUGACCACCGUCUUUGACCUCGGAUCAGGUAGGGAUACCCGCUGAACUUAAGC